ensembl:snRNA U2 U2 spliceosomal RNA
AUCGCUUCUCGGCCUUUUGGCUAAGAUCAAGUGUAGGUUUAAGUCCUUAAUCCAUCUUCAGUUGAUUUUUGUAUAAGAUGAGAGAUGAGGAUCCAGUUUCAUUCCCCUACAUGUGGCUAGCCAAU